CAGUAUUGACAGAAACUUGAUCUACACAGGACCAAAGACCAGAUGUAACUGAGUUUCAGCCCUGCUGUAAGUGUAGCAUAAGUGAAGACAUUGAUUUGGAGUACAUGACUUUGUGCAAGCAAUGACACAUCUAACAGGGGAAGAUAACUAAGGUUAUUUUCCCCAUAUCUGUCUGGCCAUGCACUGCUGUGUCC